rnacentral:rRNA from 1 species
AUUGAACGCUGGCGGCAGGCCUAACACAUGCAAGUCGAGCGGCAGCGGGAAAGUAGCUUGCUACUUUUGCCGGCGAGCGGCGGACGGGUGAGUAAUGCCUGGGAAAUUGCCCAGUCGAGGGGGAUAACAGUUGGAAACGACUGCUAAUACCGCAUACGCCCUACGGGGGAAAGCAGGGGACCUUCGGGCCUUGCGCGAUUGGAUAUGCCCAGGUGGGAUUAGCUAGUUGGUGAGGUAAUGGCUCACCAAGGCGACGAUCCCUAGCUGGUCUGAGGAGAUGAUCAGCCACACUGGAACUGAGAGACGGUCCAGACUCCUACGGGAGGCAGCAGUGGGGAAUAUUGCACAAUGGGGGAAACCCUGAUGCAGCCAUGCCGCGUGUGUGAAGAAGGCCUUCGGGUUGUAAAGCACUUUCAGCGAGGAGGAAAGGUUGAUGCCUAAUACGUAUCAACUGUGACGUUACUCGCAGAAGAAGCACCGGCUAACUCCGUGCCAGCCGCCGCGGUAUAC